rnacentral:rRNA from 1 species
UGGGGAAUAUUGCACAAUGGGGGAAACCCUGAUGCAGCGAUGCCGCGUGAGUGAUGAAGGUCUUCGGAUCGUAAAGCUCUUUCGACGGGGAAGAAGAAGAUGACGGUACCUGGAGAAGAAGCCACGGCUAAUCACGUGCCAGCAGCCGCGGUAAUACGUGAGUGGCGAGCGUUAUCCGGAAUUACUGGGCGUAAAGAGCGCGUAGGCGACUAUGAAAGUCAGAGGUGAAAAGUCAGGGCUUAACCUUGGCCUUGCCUUUGAAACUUCAUGGAUAGAGUACAGGAUAGGAGGGUGGAACUACCAGUGUAGCGGUGGAAUGCGUAGAUAUUGGUAGGAACGCCGAUGACGAAGGUAGCUCUCUGGACUGAUACUGACGCUGAGGUGCGAAAGCUAGGGGAGCAAACAGG